UACGUAGGGUGCAAGCGUUGUCCGGAAUUAUUGGGCGUAAAGAGCUCGUAGGCGGUCUGUCGCGUCGGCUGUGAAAUCCCGAGGCUCAACCUCGGGCCUGCAGUCGAUACGGGCAAACUGGAGUGUUGCAGGGGAGACUGGAAUUCCUGGUGUAGCGGUGAAAUGCGCAGAUAUCAGGAGGAACACCGGUGGCGAAGGCGGGUCUCUGGGCAACAACUGACGCUGAGGAGCGAAAGCAUGGGGAGCAAACAGG
rnacentral:rRNA from 1 species